CGGUUGCAUACUGGGGCUAAUUUUAGGUAUUACCCGCUUUGGAGUUUAUUUUGGCUUCCAGAAGUUUACAUUUAGGUCUGUAAAAAAGCACAACCUGCAGAGCUGUGUGUGUGUGUGUGUGUGUGUGUGUGUGUGUGUGUCUGUCUGUGCAUGUGAAACUCAUCAAACUUCUUUAAUAACUCUGAAUAUGACUUGUUUGGGCAUAUUUUCAAUGGAUGGCUAAUUUUGUGCCAGAAUUCAAAUGGAAAUUUAAACCAAAAGAGCUUGCAGAUAAAUAGCAGAGAUUGCUUGCUUUUCACCCCAUUUCUUCUGGUGGUAACUUUUCAAUUGUGAUUUUUUUUUUUUAACCCUCCAUAUUUUUUUUUUUGCCAGACUUUGAUUUCUAAAGCUUUAUUUUUAGUCUUUGUAAGGCACAGCAUUGAUUGAGCAUGCUGUGUUCUAAUUUUGGUAGCAAUUUUGUAGGUUAGCUCAGUUUCAUAGAAAUUAGAAAGCUGGGGCUCAUGGAAGUGACUUAUUUUAUCCACGUAGCAGGGGGUGGCAGAGUGGAUGAUGCCAGGGUCUGUGCUUCUUCAUCUCAAGGCUGGUGCUGUUUCCUUGGUGGGGCUCCAGGUCAAGUGUGAUCUGCAUUAAGGUCCUCCCGGGUGGAUGCUUGUGAAUGACCUGGGUGUGCACAGAACAGAGUGGGGCUCCAGAGCCUGUACAUGUUGCUGGGUGUGCAGUAAACACACAGAAAACAGUAUAUGCCCACCCUGCUCGUGAGGAGGGAGUUGCUGAGUCUACACUCUGUGCCAUCUACCAUGCAAUUCACCACAGUAAUUUCGAAUAGCUUCUUGGGUCUUGCAUCAUUUGUGAAAGUGAAGCAAACCUUCCUCUACUGUACAGAGUGUGUAUGCACUUCGCAGCGAGGAACGCGCCCACGUUGCUCUAGAUGGAAGACCUCCGAAACACAGGUCUCCGCAGGCCUGUAACCUUGGCUGAGGCGCAUGCUCAGUUCAAACUCAGCAUCAUCAGCAUUUCAGCCCCUUCUUUGCAGCUGCACUCUCUGGGGCCAAAAAUAAAUACGGU
rnacentral:lncRNA from 1 species